AUGACCGACGCGGGUCAAAGUGUAUACACUAUCUGUUCUUAUCAGCUUAAUAUCUGAUACGGGUUCUGUUUGGAUACAAUAUGUUAAACUUAUUUUUGAAAGUUGGCUGAAUGCUUGAAGCCUGCUUCACCUCCGCUGCGGGUCGGCCCGAUAUUGCACAAUGUCCGGGAUCGGUCCAAGUUUU